AAAGGGUCUGUGCUGAGGAGGAUUAGUAAAAGAGGAAGGGACGCCUCUUUGCAGUUGAGACAAGAGGAAGGCAUCUGUCUCCUGCUCGUCCCUGGGCAAUGGAAUGUCUCCGUGUAAAACCCGAUUGUAUAUUCCAUCUACUGAGAUAGGGGAAAACCGCCUUAGGGCUGGAGAUGUGACAGGCGGGCAGCAAUACUGCUUCAAUAGAUACUAAGGGAACUCAGAGGCCAGCGUGGAUCGUGGAUCCUCCGUAUGCUGAACACCGGUCCCCUGGGUCCCCUUUUUCUUUCUCUGCCGUGGCUGUCACCCUGGGAAUGAGUCUGCCACGGUCCCGGGAAUCCUCUCCCUGCUCUGGGACCCUGGGUUUUCUGCGUCCUGUACUCUCUGUCUUUUGUUCAUUCAUUUGUUUUUUGUUUAUGCUCUUUUUUGAGUCCAGUCUUUCAGCAGUUUGAACAUGUGCGUGCUUUUUUUUUUUUUUUUUUGUCUAUUUGUUUUGUUGAUAUUUAUCCCACUGGGAUUUCUUUGAGCUCAAUAGUUUUACAUUAGCACUUUUAACAUAUUUUUCAUAGUUAUUUUAAAUUGCCAUAUGAUAGUAGGGCUUCUCCCCUUCCCCCACCUCUACUGUCCCUUCCCCCUUACAGGCAUGAGGAACCUUUUCUAUCCCUCCUGCCUCCCCAGAGAAAAAGGCAGGAUACCCUGGGGUAUGAGGUUUCCUGUAAAUGCUGGGAUCCUACUGCACAGUAGGGUGAUGGCGGUAACAGGAAGGUUUGCGUUUUUCAAAAUAGCUGCGAGCACACCAGGCUGAGUCAGCGGGGGUGCCCGGUGAGCAGCCUGGCAGCUGCCCGUUGUGCAUGGGCAGGGGAAGCCAAGGGGCUCAAGCCAGCCAGACCCUGGGUCCAGGGAGGUGACCUGGGCCACCCUGAGGCCAAGCCGGAGACACCUGCGAGCCAUGUGCAGCAAGCUCAGGAGGGCCUCCCUGACCUGCCUUGGGAAAGUGUCCCUGGGCAGUGCUAUCAACCCAGGUGACCCUGCGUGCUCCUGGCUCAGUGCUUCGGUGCCUGGCCUAUGUGGCCAAGGUGGCAGGGCUGCUGGGGGCCCUGCGAGGGCCGAGACCCUUAGGCUGUAGAGGCUGUGGCACAGCACUGUGGGAUGGGGGAGCUGGCUGCACCCAGGCGGCCUGGGGCUCAGUGGCUUUCUGAAAGCUUUCAAAGAGGUGAAGUGUGGCCCGUUCACACUGGGGCCAGGACAUGGCGACAUAGUGAGAGGGGGAGGCCCAGGUGCAGGGGCCGGAGAGCUUAUGCUUAGGGUGCAGUGGGAGGGCAAGGGUUGCCUCGCACAUGGGAGACGCCAGGGCCGGGCUGCGGGUGACACUGUGGCCAGGCCUUCCUCCCUGGGCCUCACCCUGAGCUGGGCAGACACUGACCGGGGCUGGCUCUGGCUCUGGGCGGAGGUGCUGGGGGGCUCACUGCCCAGGUCAUCUCCGCAGGGUCAGGGGUCUGAGCUGCUUUUAGCAGCAGCUUCCCAGACACACGACGCCAGUUUCCAUUUCUCCUUCAGCAUCAUUUCUCAGAAAUAUGGUUCUGUGGCCAUUCACCAACAACAGUUGGUGAAAUGUGGCUCUGUUUCUGGGGAGCUGGUGAUAUUUGGGUUUAAGUCCUGCAGAUGACGUGGUGAGGGCUGGUGGAAGAAAUUUGACAGGAGUGGAGAGACCCUGGACCUAGACCUCACUGGGCCUUGCACCCACUGUGGGACUGUGGUCUGGCACGGGCAUUUCUGAAGCUGUGGCCACGCCAUUGCAGCACGCAUCACUCCUGCACACCCAGAUGCAGAGCUCGGUGAGAACCUCACUGUGGGCAGUGCCAGGCACAGCAGGUCCCACGUAUUUGAGAUGCUCAGGAGCCCCAGGGCCUGGAGGGAGACUUUUGGGCCCACAUGCCCCAUGUUUGGGAAGGUUUGGGCUUAACCAGGGAAUAACAUCAUGCAUUUUGCAGCUCCCUUCCAGCUGCAGAGCCAGACGUUCCGAUAUGAAGUUGGCUCCGUGCGUAAAUCACAGCAGGUACUCAAAGCAGUGGUUACCGCUCUCCUUAUUCCUGCUUUCUCUUCCCUGAGUUCAAAAGCCUGCAAAGCCAGUUUUGGGAAAAAAAAAAAAAAAAAAAAGAAAAGAAAACAAAACAAAGGAAAAAGAAAACCCACUCUAGUCCUUGUGGCGAGGUAAAUACUGCAGAAUUGACUCUGGCAUCCUGAAAUGUGGUGUGGCAUCGUAACAGGGGAACAAGAAUAUGGGAGCAAUUUAAACCAAACAAGACUCAAAAAUGACAGCAAUCACGGACCUGAACACGACGCA
rnacentral:lncRNA from 1 species